UUGUGAUGAACCCAUUAACCCAAUUUGCUGACUUUUCCAAUGGCAUGCAGGUGUUGAUGAAUGAUUGCGUGACCAAAUCCAAGCUUCUUUGCUAGUUCCUCAACAGUUACGAUGGGAUUUUGCUCCACCAAGGUUUGCAGGAGGUCCUUGUCAAGCUCUUCAGAUCUUCUAGGGCAAGGCUCAUCUUCUAGGCUGUAGUUUCCAGCUCAGAUGUUCUGGAACUAUUGUUGAUACUGGCUUACACUUACUGUCUGAUCCCCAUACACUGCAUUGAUAUUCCUUGCACUUUCCACUGCAUUGUUGCUUUUAUUGAACUCAUAAAGCAAAAUAUACUGAAUAUGCUCCUUUGUCACUUCCAUUAUAGCUUUGAAAAAAUAGCUGUUAAAAUCGAACUGCACUCUUCAAAACUUGCACUAAGAAUAAGGACAAGCUAAAAUUACUAUCUGGCUUUAUAGCAAGUUGAUUUAGGUAGUUUAUCCUGUCCCUCUCAGACUUUUAUUUCAUGCAGUUGAAAAAACCACAUUAUUUAUGGGAUGACCCAAUGUGUAUGUGUAUGUGUGUGUAUAUGUAUGUAUGUAUGAACAAACAACA